rnacentral:rRNA from 1 species
AACGAACGCUGGCGGCAUGCCUAACACGUGCAAGUCGAACGAGACCUUCGGGUCUAGUGGCGCACGGGUGCGUAACGCGUGGGAACCUGCCCUUAGGUUCGGAAUAACUCCCCGAAAGGGGUGCUAAUACCGGAUAAUGUCUUCGGACCAAAGAUUUAUCGCCUUUGGAUGGGCCCGCGUUGGAUUAGCUAGUUGGUAGGGUAAAAGCCUACCAAUGCGACGAUCCAUAGCUGGUCUGAGAGGAUGAUCAGCCACACUGGGACUGAGACACGGCCCAGACUCGUACGGGAGGCAGCAGUGGGGAAUAUUGGACAAGGGGCGAAGGCCUGAUCCAGCAAUGCCGCGUGAGUGAUGAAGGCCUUAGGGUUGUAAAGCUCUUUUACCCGGGAUGAUAAUGACAGUACCGGGAGAAUAAGCACCGGCUAACUCCGUG